rnacentral:rRNA from 1 species
UACGAAGGGUGCAAACGUUGCUCGGAAUUAUUGGGCGUAAAGCGCACGUAGGCGGCUUUGUAAGUCGGAUGUGAAAUCCCUCGGCUUAACCAAGGAAGUGCAUCCGAAACUACAGAGCUUGAGUACUUAAGAGGAUCGCGGAAUUCCCGGUGUAGAGGUGAAAUUCGUAGAUAUCAGGAAGAACACCCGUGGCUAAGGCGGCUCUCUAGUACGGUACUGACGCUGAGACGCGAAAGCGUGGGGAGCGAACAGG